AAUCAUCUCGCUUGAAUAGUUUCAGGAUCCACACAUAUUGAGAGGAGCAGCAAAGAAAGUGAAGAAAAACGUUUGUACCAUCUUAUGCCUUCUCUAUCAGAUCCCUUCAAGACACAAAAUAUCGGACCUUUGCUGCCUAGGAAGACCUUGAUUAUAGUUGUUACCUUUGAACCUUGAGACUCGUCAAUCAUUGAGACGCAAAGGGUUUGGACAGAAAACACUGCUUAUUUGAAAUGUAUAGGGUGAAGGGAAUGUUGUCUCUCUGCUUUGUGUUUCACAGGUGGCAGACCAUUAUGACCCGAGUCAGUCUUGGAGAGGUGUGUUUCUUUUCUUAUUCCUUUCAUGACUGUUGCAACAAUGUAUUUGGAUAUGGGGGUAUCUCUUGUGAACAUUUUAACCCAUCAGGUACAUAGAAGACGGCUUCAAGACACAAAGCUUCUCAGUCGUAAGACUUUUUGAUUAUGUAUGUUCUACAAUAAAACCCAUGUGAUUUAGGAUUAACGUAGGAAUACAUUUAGAAGUUGUGUAUGUGGAAGGAAAUGCCUGUGUGUCUAUUGCUUUACUCGACAUGUCUCAGCCUUGUCUUGUGGAAAAUGAAUCUUGGGCAACAGGGUUGUCAGCAGGCGUAAGGUAAGCAAAAUGAUCUUGCUUGAAUAGUUUCAGGAUCCACACAGAUUGAGAGGAGCAGCAAAGAAAGUGAAGAAAACAGUUUGUUCCAUCUUAUAUAGGAAGACAUUUGGAAGUUGUGUUUGCGGAAGGAAAGGCCUGUGUGUCUAUUGCUUUACUCGACAGAUGUCGCAGCCUUGUCUUGUGGAAAAGUGAAUCUUGGGCAACAGGGUUUUCAGAAGGUGUAAGGUAAGCAAAAUGAUCUCGCUUGAUUGGUUUCAGGAACCACAAAGAUUGAGAGGAGCGGCAAAGAAAGUGAAGAAGAAAGUGUGUACCAUCUUAUGUAGGAAGACAUUUGGAAUUUGUGUUUGCGGAAGGAAAGAAAGGCCUGUGUGUCUGUUGCUUUACUCGACAGAUGUUGCAGCCUUGUCUUGUGGAAAACUGAAUCUUAGCAACAGGGAUUUCAGCAGGUGUAAGGUAAGCAAAAUGAUCUUGCUUGAAUAGUUUCAGGAUCCACACAGAUUGAUAGGAGCAGCAAAGAAAGUGAAGAAAAAAGUUUGUACCAUCUUAUGUAGGAAGACAUUUGGAAGUUGUGUUUGCGGAAGGAAAGAAAGGCCUGUGUGUCUGUUGCUUUACUCGACAGAUGUUGCAGCCUUGUCUUGUGGAAAAGUGAUUCUUGCGCAACAGGGUUUUCAGCAGGUGUAAGGUAAGCAAAAUGAUCUCGCUUCAAUAGUUUCAGGAUCCACAAAGAUUUAGAGGAGCAGCAAAGAAAGUGAAGAAGAAAGUGUGUACCAUCUUAUGUAGGAAGACAUUUGGAAGUUGUGUUUGCGGAAGGAAAGGCCUGUGUGUCUAUUGCUUUACUCGACAGAUGUCGCAGCCUUGUCUUGUGGAAAAGUGAAUCUUGGGCAACAGGGAUUUCAGCAGGUGUAAGGUAAGCAAAAUGAUCUUGCUUGAAUAGUUUCAGGAUCCACACAGAUUGAGAGGAGCAGCAAAGAAAGUGAAGAAAAAGGUUUGUACCAUCUUAUGUCUUCUCUAUCAGAUCCCUUCAAGACACAAAAUAUCGGACCUUUGCUGCCUAGGAAGACCUUGAUUAUAGGUGUUACCUUUGAACCUUGAGACUCGUCAAUCAUUGAGACACCAAGGGUGUGGACAGAAAACACUGCUAAUUUGAAAUGUAUAGGGUGAAGGGAAAGUUGUCUCUCUGCUUUGUGUUUCACACGUGGCAGACCUUUAUGACCCGAGUCAGUCUUGGAGAGGUGUGUUUUUUUUCUUAGUGCUUUCAUGACUGUUGCAACAAUGUAUUUGGAUAUGGUAGUAUCUCUUGUGAACAUUUUAACCCAUCAGGUACAUAGAAGACGGCUUCAAGACACAAAGCUUCUCAGUCGUAAGACUUUUUGAUUAUGUAUGUUCUACAAUAAAGCCCAUGUGAUUUAGGAUUAACGUAGGAAGACAUUUAGAAGUUGUGUAUGUGGAAGGAAAGGCCUGCCUGUGUGUCAAUUGCUUUACUCGACAGAUGUCGCAGCCUUGUCUUGUGGAAAA